rnacentral:lncRNA from 1 species
UUUUUGUUGCACAGCAGAGAACAAUUUACUUGUCAGUUCAUGGCUUCAGAGUUACAGUUUCCCAAGGUGGACAGAGAUGCUUUAGGGUGGUGAUGUUGAUGUUGCUAUUCUUGAUGUUGAUGUUGCAUGUGUUUCUUGUUGCUUAUUGUUGCUGGUGUUGCUUGGAGAUCAAUGUCCAAGGCUCCUCAUUCCGGGGGAGGGCAUGCUGGAGGGCAGGUAGGUGUGCAGGCAGGUGGGCAGGGAGGUAUGCAUGUAGGUAUACAUGGAGGUACACAAGGAGGCACACAGGGAGGCACACAGGGAGGCACACAGGGAGUACAGGGAGUACAGGGAGCACAGGGAGCACAGGGAGCACAGGGAGGGAUACACGUAGGGAUACACUUGGGAGGACAGGGGCAUGGUGGUGGACAACAUUUAGGUGGACAACAUGGGGCAGGACAGCAUUUUGGUGGGCAACAUGGGGGAGGGCAACAUGGGGGUGGGCAACAUUUGGGUGGACAAGGCUUGGGGCACGGAGGAGGGCACGGGAAACACUUGACUGGGCAGGUUGGAGCGCAUUU